rnacentral:misc_RNA from 1 species
UUAUCGAUGGUAGCAAUAAGUGUACGGAUGUGUGUAGAUAUGACAAUUAUUUGUGCUUCA